UUGGCGAGCGCCACCGUCUGCACCAGCCUGACCCGCACCUCGGCGUUGUCCGGGUGGCAGAUGCAGUGCUCCACCUCCAGCACGGCCGUCGGGCCCUUGGGCCACGUGGCCACGUAGGAGCCCCCCUCGCCGGCGUAGGCGAAGGCGGUGGCGGAGGAGGCGUGGCGCUGGUGCGAGGUGUGCACGGUGGCGGCGUCGGCCUCGCAGCCGACAGUGGGGAGGAGGCGGACGAGGCGGUAGUGGAGCGCGCCCGGCGCGGCCGGGUCGGCCAGCGUGGGGCACUGCGUCUGCCAGUCCAACACAUGCAC
rnacentral:lncRNA from 1 species